CGCGGCCUAUCAGCUUGUUGGUGGGGUGAUGGCCUACCAAGGCGACGACGGGUAGCCGGCCUGAGAGGGCGACCGGCCACACUGGGACUGAGACACGGCCCAGACUCCUACGGGAGGCAGCAGUGGGGAAUAUUGCACAAUGGGCGCAAGCCUGAUGCAGCGACGCCGCGUGAGGGAUGACGGCCUUCGGGUUGUAAACCUCUUUCGCCAGGGACGAAGCCUUUUGGGGUGACGGUACCUGGAGAAGAAGCACCGGCUAACUACGUGCCAGCAGCCGCGGUAAUACGUAGGGUGCGAGCGUUGUCCGGAAUUAUUGGGCGUAAAGAGCUCGUAGGCGGCUUGUCGCGUCGGCCGUGGAAACUGGAGGCUUAACCUUCAGCGUGCGGUCGAUACGGGCAGACUUGAGUUCGGUAGGGGAGUCUGGAAUUCCUGGUGUAGCGGUGAAAUGCGCAGAUAUCAGGAGGAACACCGGUGGCGGAGGCGGGACUCUGGGCCGAUACUGACGCUGAGGAGCGAAAGCGUGGGGAGCGAACAGGAUUAGAUACCCUGGUAGUCCACGCUGUAAACGUUGGGCGCUAGGUGCGGGUGACAUUCCACGUUGUCCGUGCCGUAGCUAACGCAUUAAGCGCCCCGCCUGGGGAGUACGG
rnacentral:rRNA from 1 species